CACCCCAACACUGCCCCACGCUGGGCACACACCUCGGGUCGGAGCCUGGGAUCCAGCAGCCUUCUUCUCCCUUCUGGACGAGCCCGAACACAAGAUAAGAACACAUCACUUCGAAAUGAGCAGAACCAAUCAUUAUAUACCUCAACAACGAUACUGUAUGAGGAUGUAUUCUGAUGGAAGUGGAUUUCUUUGACAAAGAGAAGAUCUAACUCAGUUUCAAUUGAUCAAUGAUGGACAGAAACAGCUACACCCAAAGAAAGAACACUGGGGAAUGAAUAUAAACUGCUUGCAUUUUGAUUUUUCUUCCCGGGUUAUUUUUACCUUCUGAAUUCAAUUCUCCCUGUGCAACAAGAGAACUGUUUGGUUCUGCACACAUAUAUUGUAUCUAGGAUAUACUGCAACCUAUUCAACAUGUAAAGGACUGCUUGCCAUCUGGGGGAGGGGAAAAGUAGGAACAGAAGUGAGUGCAAGGGAUAAUGUUGUAAAAAAAUUACCCAGGCAUGGAUUCUGUCAAUAAAAAGUUAUCAAAAAAAAAAAAAAAA